GUUGUAUAAAAUGUAAUUUUGUAUAGUAAAUAAUAAAAAUAUUAUAUCUUUAAAAAACCUCAUUUAUUACACGGGUUGAAUGAAUCUAACAAAAAAUUAUAUCUUUAAAAAAACUAACGGAUAUACUCGAUAUAUGAUGGAUUGAGUGAUUGCGGUGAUGGUUCUUAUAAAUGUCACAGUUGAACACGAAAAUAAAAGUAUAGAACCAAUAAACAUUGAUUAAUGUUUUUUUUACCCCUUAUAAACAUUUUUCAAAAUAGGUUCUACCUUAAAUAAAUCAUUUACAUUAUAUUAAUUUAUAUU
rnacentral:lncRNA from 1 species